GAUGAACGCUGGCGGCGUGCCUAAUACAUGCCAGUCGAGCGAACGGACGAGAAGCUUGCUUCUCUGAUGUUAGCGGCGGACGGGUGAGUAACACGUGUAUAACCUACCUAUAAGACUGGGAUAACUUCGGGAAACCGUAGCUAAUACCGGAUAAUAUUUUGAACCGCAUGGUUCAAAAGUGAAAGACGGUCUUUCUGUCACUUCUAGAUGGAUCCGCGCUGCAUUAGCUAGUUGGUAAGGUAACGGCUUACCAAGGCAACGAUGCAUAGCCGACCUGAGAGGGUGAUCGGCCGCACUGGAACUGAGACACGGUCCAGACGCCUACGGGAGGCAGCAGUAGGGAAUCUGCCGCAAUGGGCGAAAGCCUGACGGAGCAACGCCGCGUGAGUGAUGAAGGUCUUCGGAUCGUAAAACUCUGUUAUUAGGGAAGAACAGAUGUGUAAGUAACUGUGCACAUCUUGACGGUACCUAAUCAGAAAGCCACGGCUAACUACGUG
rnacentral:rRNA from 1 species